UCUUGGCAAAGUCAGAAGGCACUAAAAACCUGGCUGGAAUAAAAUUUUGUGGGUAGAAAUUCUGAGGCAGGUUCCAAUACAGGUAAAGCCUUCCUUUCUCCGGCAACGGGGGAAAAGAGACAAGCCUGGAAGAGGUUUUCUACAACCAGUUUCAGUUUACUAAGAAGAAAGUACUACCAUACGAAUAUAUGGAGAAGGACAAGUCUGCUGAAAUCUUCUGAAUUGAGAAUUUUGCAAACAUAAUUAGACUCAGAUUUCGAAUAGAAACAACAAAAAGAAAAAGAUACAUGAGGAACGUAUAUACGUUAAUCAGGUAGCAUUUCUUGUUCGAAACCAAAGGCCGUGGGAAUUUUGGAAGGGCUGAACAUCUUUGUUUAAUCUUUUGUCUAUCCACAAAUACAUGUUAAUUACUCACUGCUUUCCUGUAUGAAUUUUUUUGGUGGAUUCACAUGCAAUAAAUAACAUAUCUGAAAGAAUUGCCA
rnacentral:lncRNA from 1 species